rnacentral:rRNA from 1 species
CAUGCAGUCGAGCGGAGAUGAGGUGCUUGCACCUUAUCUUAGCGGCGGACGGGUGAGUAAUGCUUAGGAAUCUGCCUAUUAGUGGGGGACAACAUUCCGAAAGGAAUGCUAAUACCGCAUACGCCCUACGGGGGAAAGCAGGGGAUCUUCGGACCUUGCGCUAAUAGAUGAGCCUAAGUCGGAUUAGCUAGUUGGUGGGGUAAAGGCCUACCAAGGCGACGAUCUGUAGCGGGUCUGAGAGGAUGAUCCGCCACACUGGGACUGAGACACGGCCCAGACUCCUACGGGAGGCAGCAGUGGGGAAUAUUGGACAAUGGGCGGAAGCCUGAUCCAGCCAUGCCGCGUGUGUGAAGAAGGCCUUUUGGUUGUAAAGCACUUUAAGCGAGGAGGAGGCUACUUAGAUUAAUACUCUAGGAUAGUGGACGUUACUCGCAGAAUAAGCACCGGCUAACUCUGUGCCAGCAGCCGCGGUAAUACAGAGGGUGCGAGCGUUAAUCGGAUUUACUGGGCGUAAAGCGUGCGUAGGCGGCUGAUUAAGUCGGAUGUGAAAUCCCUGAGCUUAACUUAGGAAUUGCAUUCGAUACUGGUCAGCUAGAGUAUGGGAGAGGAUGGUAGAAUUCCAGGUGUAGCGGUGAAAUGCGUAGAGAUCUGGAGGAAUACCGAUGGCGAA